rnacentral:lncRNA from 1 species
AGGGAAGUGACAAAAGAAGAUCUUUCAACCAUCCCUUCCCAGGUAUUUCAGUUAUUCAAAUUACUCUCAGUUCAGCAUUAUAAUCAGCAUCCAUGACCAUGAGGACCAUGAAUAUGAUGUUUACUUGCAAGUGCAAAAAACAAUUUUAUUCACUCAUUUACAGAGCAAUCCAAAAAUGAAAGAUGGUUGUCUAGUUGAGAGGUCCAUUAGGCAUUUGAUGAACCACCCAAGAACUGGCUUGUUAUCCUUCCACUGUGAGAAGAGACAGGUGUUCGCUGCUCUGUGGAGCCAGCCUCGCGCAGUGCCCUGAACUUUAGGAGCCAUUGCCCCCAAGCCUUCGCUAGAGGACCCUAACCUCACUUCUCACUUGGAUAGGGCAGGCCAGAGAAGCACCCAGAUGGCCCAACCGUCAAGACCAGGCCAAACAUCCAACCAUCCAGCCCUCACUUGAGUUACAGGCUCGCGUUACCAAGCCCAG